rnacentral:misc_RNA from 1 species
GACAGAGGGUGCAAGCGUUGUUCGGAAUUAUUGGGCGUAAAGCGCACGUAGGCGGCUUGGCAAGUCGGAUGUGAAAGCCCAGGGCUCAACCUUGGAAGGGCAUCCGAAACUGCUUGGCUUGAGUCCCGGAGAGGGUGGUGGAAUUCCCAGUGUAGAGGUGAAAUUCGUAGAUAUUGGGAGGAACAUCGGUGGCGAAGGCGACCACCUGGACGGUGACUGACGCUGAGGUGCGAAAGCGUGGGGAGCAAACAGG